rnacentral:tRNA from 1 species
CUUUACUGUUUCCCCACUUCUAUAAACACAAACAGCCCCCCCCACACACACACACAAACUCUCACACCCUCUCACUAACUCUCUUCCCUGUGGGAUCAUGUUGUGUGCAUUGUGAGGACAAUAUAGGCUGGUCAAGUUUGCAGAAAUUGAGGUCAUUUUUUUUUAACCUCAGAGUUCAUUCUGGCUUUAAGUGAUGUGAGCUUUCAAGCCCAACUCAAUUAAUAUGGCUGGUUGGGUUUACCAAAUCAGGGGACGGUCCCUUGCGUCGUCGUGCAUUUUACAGAGACAUAUUCUGAGUGUCUCUGCUCCUGGUUUCUACAUUACAUGCCUAGGUGUUUCUUCCAUCAUGUGGCACCCACAACAUAGAGGCCGCCCCAGUGGCCCAGCCAUAUCACAAAUCAAAACCUGCAUCAGCUGGCCUUCAGGGGAAAUGCCUCUCUGCCAAGAGCACCUAACAAUCACCAAUCACAAUUCUCCAAGUAAGCUUUAGCUAGCUUACUCUAUCCUAGAAAAUAGGACCUACCCCCCUUAUUCAGAAAUGCCUGGACUCUUAGCCAGUCAUGCCCUGUUUGAGUAUUGUUGCUUCUAAAGUUCCACAACGCUCCUGCCCUAAAUCCCUUGGGAACAGUGCUCCCUGACUGUAAAACACUGCUCCCCCAGUGCAUGGAUUAUUCUCCCUUGAAUACAGGACAUCAAACUCAUUACUAAAUUGCUUAUUUUUUGUCAUUUGACACUUGUCUUCUGUAGAAGUACAUAUAUUUAUAUAUAAGUAUAUAUAUUGAUUUCUGAAUUUGUUUUUAUUUAUACAUUUGCAUGCAGUUGUAUGUUUGUAAUUGAAUAGGAUCAGUUAUAUUAGAGCUUCAGUUAGUAAAAAAAACAUUAAUAUAUACCUUGAAAUAGAAUAUCUGAAUCAACUCCAUAGAUCAUCUAAGUUACUCUUUAUGAUUUCUUUUUAGUUGGGGCAAUGCUGUUGAUGGUUAAUUUUGACCCUUACAUAUUAACUCUUCUUAAUUCACUCUAAAAAUGAUAAUCUCAUUUCAGAAUUCUGGGGAACUAUUGUCAACAAGGAUGGAACUCUGGAGGGUAGUGGUAGGUUCCAAUAUUCAGCAUCUGCGUCAUCAUGUCAUAGUGGAUUUUUAUGUUAAUUACCUAAUGCAUGAUUAAAGGGUCAAUAGGAAGAUAACAAAAAUAAUUCACAUUUGUACAGCAUUUUAAAUAUUCAAAUGAAUAUUGAUUUGUUUGAUUCUUACAUCUCCAUGAAAAGAGAAACUUAAGAGUGGAUUAAAAAUCCAAAACCAUUUAUAGGUGAAACAUUGGUGUUUUUGCCACCAGCAGAGGCGAAAAGUUCUUUCAGAUCAAAACAUACAAUUUGCCUCAAAAUGAGAAUUCCUGGAACAUGAACUAGAUUUGCUCCUUUAGAGCUUUGAAGAAGUAACAGAGCCCAACCCUUUCAGAUGGAGGCACCAGCACUCUUAGAUGCUAAAGACAAGGAUAUUUUCAUGCACAUCAGCAACAUUUAAUUCUUGCUGGUCAGGAGUAGGGAGCAUGUAUGAGUGAUGGAAAUCCACAGAUAAUCAACCAACUUUUUUGCUUGAAGGGUUUGUGCUUUAUCCCCAAGGAGGCUUUUGCUGUGAUCUCUACCUAGGAGGAAAUAUUGGCUGCUCUUUCUUCUUCUUCAAGCUCCCCUCCCAGCGUGUGGCUCCCCUCCAGGAGUUUCUGUAGCAUCACCACUGGGGGUCAUUUUUUUUUCAUCACCAUCUGGAGGUCUUUUCCCAGGCACUUUAGUUGCUCCUCCCCAUGAUUACAAUAUCCCACUGAUCCUGUUUUGCACUUUCUGCUUCUUAAGAGGAUCUCUCUUUGGUGUCCCAACACCAUAAAGAAGUUAAUAAUGCAUAAUGCGCUUGGACAUCAAUAGUCUGAGCUGCGGUGGGCUAAAAUCACCCUUCUCUUUCAUGGCACCAUGAAGGCAAAGUCUGAUCAUCGGCUCCAUGAAUUCCCAUGUUGUCAAUACAAACGGAAUAGGUGAAUAUUUCGUGGAUAACAGCAUCCGAGCAUAGGCCACCACAACAGAGCACCUCUCUUCCUCUGCUAUUAUUCAUCUGGAAAAAUGAUAGCUUUGCAUUUGUCCUUGAAAAUCCAGUAACUAAUAGUCUGGAAAAACUACCUUUGUCUUGUAAAAUGCACAAUAAAAUCUUUGCCGUUUCCACAGAAAUCCAGGUUGUCUUUCAUUACCUUUGGUUUUGUGUUUCUUAAUAAAUUUUGAUUAGCAUGCCUAGACACACUUUUAAACAUAACAGUUUCCCUUGGGCAUGUAAGGGAGUCAUUGCUUAAGUAUGACAGGAGCUUCCCAAAGAUAUUUCUUUCUUUUUUCCUUUAGUACAUUAAUAAAAAGGAAAAGGGUGUCUGCUCUAUGGAUUGAUUGCUUGGAAAAAUAAAACACGCAAAAGCUGGUAUGUGUUACAUGAAUGCAUGAAUAAACUAAUCCUCUAAAACAACUCAGUUACAGGGACAAAACAUUCGAUCUGGGGACAGGACAAGAAGUAGGAGGCAAUUUGGGAUCAGUAUUUGCUCCGAUGAGUGUAAUUAUUGUGUAAAUUGUGGCUCUUGACAAAAAUCUCUGAGUCCUGUUGAGAUGUUGUUAAUGCCCCAGGAAGAAGUCUGCCUUCUCUAGUGUGAUUGCUUACAAAGAUGCUGCUGCCUCCUUCCUCCUUUUCCCACAGGAGAUGGGCAAUUUGCCAGUGUUUCAUUUUCAAGUGCCAUUGUUCACCUAGGGCUUGAGGAAAAGCUCCUGCUUUUUAUUGCUAAUCCAAUCCUAAAUUAUGACCAUUUUUUAAAAUUCCUUGAACAUUUUAUAACAAAAUUAUUAGCCACUGACAUUAGCCACGAUGACACAAAUAGCUCUGUCACUUAUUUUGUUUAACUUAACAAGUGAUUCAGUAAUUUUUGCAGCCUGGGAAUUACUCUAUUGGUUUGCGAGAUCUCCUUCUAUGAGUAGUUCAUGGGAAAAAUUCUCAGUCUACUCUUAUUUCUGCAAUACCUGUCCACUCUCGUUCCACGAGUUAUGAUUCUGACAACAAAGCAACGUGGUAAUAUUUAUCACAUGAUUUAAUCACGCUCGUGUCAUAUUUUACAUUGUGUAUGUAUAUGACUGAAAAAGAACAGUCCAAUUGUCCUACAUUCUAAGGAAAUAAGAUACAUUUAUUCAUUAAAGAAAUUGAAGAAUAGGUUAAAGAUGUUAAUGAUUAUUGAAUGUGAGCUCAUGCUGGGACCUUUUGUGAAUUAGGUUUGGCACCCUUGGAUUAAUUCUUCAUAUUUAACACACACUACACAUUCAGGGGGUAAUUUCCUGUGUUUUAUCAUAAAGAUCGAAGCAGGAUCAUGCCAGAAUUUGAAAUGGUUCUGUGCAAAAACGGAAAGCAGGUCACCUUUGUUUCUAUAACCCUUUCUAAAGCCCUUUGAGUCUGUGUCCCCAUCCUAGUCCUAACCUCGCUUGUCACGGCCUGCCCACCUCACAGCAUGCGAGGUCUGUAACUUGUUCAAGGCCCCCACCAUGACAGCAUCCUUCUGUUCCCAACCUUUCCCAUUCCCUUCACUCUCAGUUCAUGCAUUUCCUACAAACCUUGCAUUCUUUAAAAGUCCUGUCUAGUCUAGAGAACAAGAACAUUGAUUUGUGUUUGGAGUUAAUAGCUGGUAGUAACUGUUCAUAUGACACCCUUCCAGAUAUAAUUUGCAUUUAAACAGCUGCCUUGAACUGAAAGAACUGGAGAAUGCUGAAGGGUUCAGACUCUGAAGCAGGGCCAAUGAGAGUUAUUUUUGGUCACCACGCCCUUCCCAGGCCCCCUCAGGUGUUUAAUCAGCCUAUGAGACAUUAGGAGGGAGAAACACAAAUAAACAAGGCUCUGAUUUGAUUCCUGGCUCUGACAGUUCCUAGCUCUGUGACCUUGAGCUGGUGCUUCAGUGUCCUCAACCAUAAAACAGGGCUAAUAAGGUUUUAUGAAGACUAAAUGAGUAAGAUAGUUAAAACUCCUGAAAGGUUUCCUAUUAUAAGAAUGUCAGUGGAAAAUCUUUUGGUUACAAAUGACAGGAAUUCAACUCAAACUAAGUAUUCGGAUGUAGUAGAAUUGCAUUGCUGUCUAGAAAUGCAUAUUUUUUAGCAAGCAAAAGUAGGGAUUCUGAGAUGGGUGGUAAUUGAAUCAUACUUCAAAGGACAGUAUUCUAGGGGAGCAAAGAAUAUUCCACAGACCUUAAAAAAUGAGAGGCAGGAGAUGAUAGAGAAUGUAAUGAUCCAGAUCUAAAAUCUGAAAGGUGGGGAUGGCAACCUCAGUAAGCCAUGGAGAAUACAGACAAGAUUGAAAUGGCAUGCCUAAAUUUAAACCAGAUUAUAUAUAAAAUUUCAAGUACUGAGCAUAAUCUUUGACAACAGAGAAAACUAAUUUUUUUUAAAUAUAGAAAUUAACUGAAAUCAGGGAAGAUAAUUGGACCACUAGUGGUUAUCUGAUAAAAGAGGCAGAAAAUAAAUGAGGUGCCAAAAGACUGGAGAUGAAAAAAUGAAGUUCCAUUUGUCUUUAAAGAACCCAAAAUUGGAUUCUUCCAGGUGUAGGGCAGUGAGUCUUGAUGUCAAUCUUGAGCGAUUACUAAAAGAGACAUUGAAUGAAAGAUGUCUAAGCCUUUAAUGCAGUACAUUGUACUCAUGGAGAAUUUAUAUCAAUUUCCAAAUAAGUCAGACUAUUUCUAUUUUUGACUGAAUUGCCAGAUUGGUAAAUUUAGAUGACUUAGGAAAAUAGGACAUACAGUGUGUGUAGAGGAGUUAGAUGCCCAUGAAUUUCUUAUAGAAAAAAAAAUAAAUAAAGUCAGGGGGUUCCCUGGUGGUCUAGUGGUUAGGAUUCAGUGCUUUCACUGCUGCAGCCUAUGGUUCAGUCCCUAGUCUGGGAACUGAGAUCAAGAUCCCACAUCAAGGAGUUCCUGUCACGGCACAGCAGAAAUGAAUCCGACUAGGAACCAUGAGGUGGCGGGUUCAACCCCUUGCCUCACUCACUGGGUUAAGGAUCUGUUGUUACUGUGAGCUGUGUGGUGUAGGUCACAGACAAGGAUUGGAUCCUGUAUUGCUGUGGCUGUGGGGUAGGCCAUCAGCUGUAGCUCCGAUUGGAGCCUUAGCCUGGGCACCUCCAUAUGUUGCAAGUGUGGCCCUAAAAAGCAAAAAAAAAA